rnacentral:pre_miRNA from 1 species
UGUUGCCGUCAAUACAUCACCAUGGAGGUCGGAGGCUGCUAGAUCUAGCGUCCCCCGACCUCCACGCCGAUGAAUCUGUCGGUCAGG